AUUGAACGCUGGCGGCAUGCUUUACACAUGCAAGUCGAGCGGCAGCGCGGGGGCAACCCUGGCGGCGAGCGGCGAACGGGUGAGUAAUGCAUCGGAACGUAUCCUGUAGUGGGGAAUAACUCACCGAAAGGUGAGCUAAUACCGCAUAAGCUCUGAGGAGGAAAGCGGGGGACCGAAAGGCCUCGCGCUGCAGGAGCGGCCGAUGUCCGAUUAGCUAGUUGGUGAGGUAAAGGCUCACCAAGGCGACGAUCGGUAGCUGGUCUGAGAGGAUGAUCAGCCACACUGGGACUGAGACACGGCCCAGACUCCUACGGGAGGCAGCAGUGGGGAAUUUUGGACAAUGGGGGAAACCCUGAUCCAGCCAUGCCGCGUGAGUGAAGAAGGCCUUCGGGUUGUAAAGCUCUUUCGGACGGAACGAAAUUGCUUGGACUAAUACUCUGAGUAGAUGACGGUACCGUAAGAAGAAGCACCGGCUAACUACGUG
rnacentral:rRNA from 1 species